AGCAGCCGCGGUAAUUCCAGCUCCAAUAGCGUAUAUUAAAGUUGUUGCAGUUAAAAAGCUCGUAGUUGAAUUUCGGGAUCAAUAUGUUGGUCGUGCCUUGGUACGUACUGGCAUUAUCGAUUCCUACCUUCUGAAGAACCUCGAUGUCAUUAAUUUGGUGUCUUGGGGAAUCAGGACUGUUACUUUGAAAAAAUUAGAGUGUUUAAAGCAGGCUCGCGCUUGAAUACAUUAGCAUGGAAUAAUGAAAUAGGACGUUUGAUUCUAUUUUGUUGGUUUCUAGGAUCGACGUAAUGAUUAAUAGGGAUAGUUGGGGGCAUUAGUAUUCAAUUGUCAGAGGUGAAAUUCUUGGAUUUAUUGAAGACUAACUACUGCGAAAGCAUUUGCCAAGGAUGUUUUCAUUAAUCAAGAACGAAAGUUAGGGGAUCGAAGACGAUCAGAUACCGUCGUAGUCUUAACCAUAAACUAUGCCGACUAGGGAUCGGAUGAUGUUAAUUUUUUAAUGACUCAUUCGGCGCCUUACG
rnacentral:rRNA from 1 species